rnacentral:rRNA from 1 species
GACGAACGCUGGCGGCGUGCUUAACACAUGCAAGUCGAGCGGUAAGGCCCCUUCGGAGGUACACGAGCGGCGAACGGGUGAGUAACACGUGGGUGACCUGCCCUCAGCUCUGGGAUAAGCCUGGGAAACCGGGUCUAAUACCGGAUAUGACUCCAUGACGCAUGUUGUGGGGUGGAAAGCCUUGUGCGGCUGAGGAUGGGCCCGCGGCCUAUCAGCUUGUUGGUGGGGUGANGGCCUACCAAGGCGACGACGGGUAGCCGGCCUGAGAGGGCGACCGGCCACACUGGGACUGAGACACGGCCCAGACUCCUACGGGAGGCAGCAGUGGGGAAUAUUGGACAAUGGGCGCAAGCCUGAUCCAGCGAUGCCGCGUGUGUGAAGAAGGCCUGCGGGGUUGUAAAGCACUUUCAGUAGGGAAGAAAGCCGAGUGCUAAUAUCACUCGGUCUUGACGUUACUUACAGAAGAAGCACCGGCUAACUCCGUGCCA